rnacentral:lncRNA from 1 species
UCUUAACAUCAGAACACAACAUAUUCCUCAUGUGUUUGUGGUGAAGCUGACAUAAACAACCUACUACAGGCCUACCAGUCAUAAAACAGCUAAGUUUACUUGGCCUAUUUAAGGACAGUCACAAAAGAGAGUUAAUGGAUACCAAAGUUUGGAAGAGACAGCACUAUCUCACUGUAACUUGGAACUGAACGAGAUGGGGUCUCGUUGUGCUGCCCAGGUUGCUCUUAAACUACUGAUCUCAAGCAAUCCUCCCACCUCUGGCUCUCAAGUAGCUGGGAUUACAGGCAAAUAAUGAUGGAAAUCUGGGGAUUCUUGAUGGGCCGUUGAGAUUCUAAUGGGAUCUGGUAUAAACACAUUUUAGCAGAGACUUACUUCCUCUCUGAAGUUUUCCUGACGUUGAAAUAUACCACAACAAACUCAGUACUGUCAAAAGUACUGGUUCUUAAAUACAGAGCACAGAUAUCACUCCAGUGGAAGAGUUCAUCAGAUAGUGAGAAUCUCACCUAUAAAUCUCAAGCAUGCCUGCCAAGGAGUCUCAAGUCAGGAACAGAGGAGAAAAUAGCCAUCAAAUAGGGCGUCUUGUCAGUAUUAUUCAAAUGUAAUAGAAAAUCAAAUUAUAAUAAAACAUUUAACAUACCA